UAGGGAAUUUUCCACAAUGGGCGCAAGCCUGAUGGAGCAACACCGCGUGCAGGAUGAAUGCCUUAGGGUUGUAAACUGCUUUUAUCUGUGACGAUUAUGACGGUAGCAGAUGAAUAAGGAUCGGCUAACUCCGUGCCAGCAGCCGCGGUCAUACGGAGGAUCCAAGCGUUAUCCGGAAUUACUGGGCGUAAAGAGUUGCGUAGGUGGCGAAGUAAGUUGGUAGUGAAAGCGUUCGGCUCAACCGAAUAUACAUUACCAAAACUGCUUAAGCUAGAGGACGAGAGAGGUUAUUGGAAUUCCUAGUGUAGGAGUGAAAUCCGUAGAUAUUAGGAGGAACACCGAUGGCGUAGGCAGAUAACUGGCUCGUUCCUGACACUAAGGCACGAAAGCGUGGGGAGCAAACGGGAUUAGAUACCCCCGUAGUCC
rnacentral:rRNA from 1 species